CAGGUUUACAGGCACCGCUGGCCUUUGGCUGAUCUGGUUGCUUAACCAGCAGCCUCCCUGUUACUUCAACUCCUGUCUGACCCCAGACUUCUUCAAGGUGUUUCAUGUAGCUUCAAUUUCCAAGGAAAUAUGAACAGACACACCAGGGCGAGGGACCAGUGCCAGGGGUUGACUGACAGGUUUGACCAGCCAUCCAGCCGAUUCUAUGGCCCACACAAAGGGUGCCAAAACAGGUCUCCCUGAAGAAAAGAGCAAUGGGCUGUGAGGAACUUGCAUCCUUAGGUACACAACAGAACAGCCGGUUCAUGGGCUUUCCUCUGCAGUGUUAUGUGAGGAAGAAACUUUCUUUUCCAAGCUACCGAAUUGAGCUUUAAUUGGCAUCCUAAUCUGAAUUUCUGGUACAUGGCUGCAUCCUUGUUUACUCUGAGUGAUUGCAGUGUGAGCUGCAUGUGGGAUUUGGGGGUUGCCUCUCUCUCUGAUUCCCGUGCUUAUGAAGCUGUCACUGUAAAGACACGAAGCUACUACCUUUAACAGCAAAUGUUCCCAACGGGAAGUGAAAUGUUAACCCAAUGACUUAUUUCCUUUUGAAAGGAAUUUCUUCAGUUUCCCAGAAGUGUAUAGCAACUUUCUCUUGGUAUUUAGACUCUAAGAAUUCCAUAGGUGAGAAUGUCUUCAUCUGUUCCCCCCGAAGACAAAGAGCUUUUCUGCAAACCUGCCCUCCCUCUGGUUUGAAUAAUUUUCUUUUAUUAUUUUGAUUAACUAUUAACUCUACUCUUUCUUUCUUUCUUUCUUUCUUUCUUUCUUUCUUUCUUUUCUUGAGCCUUUCUCUGUGUAACCAUGGCUGCCCUGGAACUCACUCUGUAGACCAGACUGGCCUCUAACACAGGGAUUUGCCUGCUUCUGCCUCCCAAAUACUAAGAUUAAAGAUGGGUGUCAUCACACAUGGCUGAUUAUACCUUUUCUUUAUUUUCAAGAAUCCAACCACGUUCUUAUAAGACUUCUGGAAGUUGUCUUCCAGUUUCCUUAUCUUUUUCUCUAAUGAUGUUUGACUCUUGUUUUGCUCUGUGUUUGCAAUUACUGCUGCCACUUAUUUGAGUCUCCAAACUGACCAUCGGCUCAUGGUCCACUCUAGCCAGAAUAUCAUCCUUCUUUACUACUUCUUCCUGUAUCUGAUAAUUUAAAUUAGUGGGGAAUGUUUCUAUAAAUGAGGGGUUUCAGCAAAGCUAGAAAGAAAUUUAGAGGAGAUAAAGUUCACGCUCCAGGAGGAAAUACAUAACAUCAAAGAUAAGACAUCCCAGAGCGAGCAGGGCAGGAGCCUGGACAAAGCAAAGCAGAGAAACAGUGGAAUGAAAAUUCUGCUAACAGGAAGUGUUCAUGGACAUGCAAUGAAGACAGAGUGAGAACAAAGAUGUCCAAAGCAUCCCAGACCCCUAGAAAAAAUGUCCAAUAGCUUCAUUCACAUCCAGACAGCAGUGACAAAAGAAAGAGUACCUGGGACAGGAAAACGUGUGAAACAUCAAUGCCCAAGAAUUUCUAAAACUGAUGAAAGACAACGAAUCGCAGAUUCAAGAAUCUCAGACAAAAGAGAUGGGAAAGUGUGG
ensembl:lncRNA